GAGGAAAGCCUUUCAACCCUGUUCUAGGGGAGACCUACGAAUGCGACCGGCCAGACAGAGGCUUUCGCUUCAUUGCUGAGCAGGUCAGCCAUCACCCACCUAUUUCAGCUUGUCACGCAGAGUCUAAAAACUUUGUCUUCAGGCAAGAUGUGAGGUGUAAGAACAAGUUCUGGGGGAAGUCCAUGGAGAUUGUUCCUGUCUGCACCACUCAUGUUACUGUGCCCAGGUAAGUUUAUUAGGCCCGAGCAGUGAAGCUGCGAAGGCCUAUUGUAUCUGCU